rnacentral:rRNA from 1 species
GAUGAACGCUGGCGGCGUGCCUAAUACAUGCAAGUCGAGCGAACAGACGAGGAGCUUGCUCCUCUGACGUUAGCGGCGGACGGGUGAGUAACACGUGGAUAACCUACCUAUAAGACUGGGAUAACUUCGGGAAACCGGAGCUAAUACCGGAUAAUAUAUUGAACCGCAUGGUUCAAUAGUGAAAGACGGUUUUGCUGUCACUUAUAGAUGGAUCCGCGCCGGAUUAGCUAGUUGGUAAGGUAACGGCUUACCAAGGCAACGAUGCGUAGCCGACCUGAGAGGGUGAUCGGCCACACUGGAACUGAGACACGGUCCAGACUCCUACGGGGGGCAGCAGUAGGGAAUCUUCCGCAAUGGGCGAAAGCCUGACGGAGCAACGCCGCGUGAGUGAUGAAGGUCUUCGGAUCGUAAAACUCUGUUAUUAGGGAAGAACAAAUGUGUAAGUAACUAUGCACGUCUUGACGGUACCUAAUCAGAAAGCCACGGCUAACUACGUG